GACAGAGGCCUCAAGCGUUAGGCGGAAUCACUGGGCUUAAAGCGUGUGUAGGCGGAUCGUUAAGUGUCUUGUGAAAUCCCACGGCUCACCCGUGGAACUGCUGGGCAUACUGGCGAUCUUGGGCCAACUAGGGGCAACUGGAACAAGCGGUGGAGCGGUGAAAUGCGUAGAUAUCGCUUGGAACGCCAACGGUGAAAACAGGUAGCUGGGAGUGUGCUGACGCUGGAGACACGAAAGCCAGGGGGAGCAAAACGGG
rnacentral:rRNA from 1 species